rnacentral:rRNA from 1 species
GACGAACGCUGGCGGCGUGCUUAACACAUGCAAGUCGAACGCUGAAGCUCAGCUUUUGUUGGGUGGAUGAGUGGCGAACGGGUGAGUAACACGUGAGUAACCUGCCUCCUUCUUUGGGAUAACGCCCGGAAACGGGUGCUAAUGCUGGAUAUUCACUGGUCUUCGCAUGGGGGUUGGUGGAAAGGGUUUUUCUGGUGGGGGAUGGGCUCGCGGCCUAUCGGCUUGUUGGUGGGGUGAUGGCCUACCAAGGCUUUGACGGGUAGCCGGCCUGAGAGGGUGACCGGUAACAUUGGGACGGAGCUACGGCCCAGACUCCUACGGGAGGGAGCAGUGGGGAAUAUUGCACAAUGGGCGAAAGCCUGAUGCAGCGACGCCGCGUGAGGGAUGGAGGCCUUCGGGUUGUGAACCUCUUUCGCUCAUGGUCAAGCCGCAACAAUGGUUGUGGUGAGGGUAGUGGGUAAAGAAGCGCCGGCUAACUACGUG